GUGAUGGUGGUGGUGAUUUGUUUUGUCUUGUUUUUAAUGUCUCUGUAGUUAAAAAGUCUUGGAGACACUUGCAAUAAACACCUCAGACAAAGGCCUCUUAUCAGAUCCCAGGACCCAGCAGGGCAUAACCUGUGAGAACAUCCCCGUGAGCACCGAAGGGAGGCAUUGUCUGGUGAGCAGGCAUGCUGUUCACCUGGCACAGCCCAGGCAAAUGCUGGCAGUGGAGGAGACGUGAGGAUGCUCAUGUGAAACUCUCAGGGCAUCCCAACCAGUAAGCAGAGCCUGGGGAGGUGGAGGCCCAAAUCUGAGAAAGGGAAAAGAGGUCUGUCCUCAAGUUCUGGGUCAGAGCCCCUUGAAGACAACAGGAAUCUGGGCAGCUCACUAAAAGAGGGGUUCAGAGGUCCAAGGUCAAAGUUCAGUGAUAAGAACAGAAAGCACCAGAGGGGAAAGGCACUUUCUCAGCAAAGAAAUCUCAAUGCCCAGAAUGCAGGGCUGAAGCUGAUUGAAAACCAACUAUAUCCACCUAGAUUGGACCAGGUCAUUAGGAUGGGUGAUUCUUAUCUGUGGGUAAGAAUGAAGUGACACCCCCACCCCACCCACCAGCUAUGGAAGAAGAAGGAAUUACAGAGACUGGAACCCAGAAUUAAAUGUCUUCCAUGUCAACACUCAUGCCAGGAUUAUACAGACACUGGGACAACCUCCUCCCACAACCAGCCUCCUUCCUUGAGGUGACCUAGGGGAAAUGAAGGCAUUCGUGACAAUACUUUCCAUCACACCAGAAGAGAUGAGAGUUUAAACACCAUUAGACUGAGAAGAGAAACUCGGGGGGCUUUUAACUUCAGUCCAACCAGGGAACCACACUGUGGUAGAAAUAGAACUUGCUUCAAACUUCCUGGCUUUGAAUCCCAGUUCUGCACCUGACUUGUGAGUCAGCACUGACAAUGUAAUGAUUUCAGCCUGUUUUGGCCGAAGACUCCAAAACAGUAAGUGCCCAUCACUCCCACAUACCGAAGUGAAAUACUAGACUGCCUAUGCAGGAUUUGAGAACGGAAGAUUGAGAGACAAAAGCACUUAGGAAAGAAAAGAAAUUUACUCUCAAAAGAGCUCAAGGGAGUUAAACUUCAGACAGCUUGGCUUACAAAUAAAUAAAUAAGUAAAUAAAUAAAUAAAUAAAUACAUAAAUAAGUCUAUGAUAGCUAUUUAAAGGGAAAAUCCCUUAACAUUAGCAAGGUUAGCUAGUUUACAUUAGCCUGUUCUGGUGGAUUUUCUCAUAUGUUUAUCAUAUCCUCAAAAGUCAUGACAUAUGGUCAGAUAUCGGUACUACAAAAGCCAGGAUAAAGGUUUUUGUUAGAGUCAGGUAAGAAUCAAAUAACACCCCCAACCCCAUCAGGAAAGGAAGGAGUUACAGAGGCCGGAGACCUAGCUUUACUGGAGAAGCUAAAGGCUUGCUAAUUUCGGACACAAGAAGCAGAAAUGGGCUGCCGCAGCAGAAUACCACAAACCAAACAGCUUCCAAUAACAGAUCUUUAUGUUCUCACCACUGUGGAGCCAGGACUCCAAAACGAAGGUGUCGGCAAGGCCAUGCCCACCUUGAAACCUGUAGGGGAGCAUCCUUUCUCGCCUCUUUCUAGCUUCUGGUGGUUUGCUAGCAAUCCUGGGCGUUUCCUGGCUCACAGCUGCAGGAUUUCAAACUCUGCCUCCAUUGUCGCAUGAUGUUCUCCCCUCCUAUAUCUGUAUCUCUGGAUCUCUUCUUUUAAGGACAUGAGUUAUAUUGGAUUAAAGGCCCACCCUACUUCAGUAUGACCUCAUCUUAACUUAUAACCUCUGCAAAGACCGUUUCCAAAUAACAUCACAUCUUCUGGCACUGAGGAUUAUGUCUUCAACAUGUCAUUUGGAGAGACACAAUGCAACUCGUAACAAUGGCUCAAUCACAUCUUCUCUGCUCCCUCUUUCAACAAUGGCUUCCCCACCCAACUUAAUAUAGGGUGGACAGGGGCAACUUCAGGACCUAAACCAGGGAAAAAGAUAGGAGCCUUCAUAAAAAUGGAACCAUCUAUCCCCAGCACAGGAACCAGAGGGCACUUCUCUACCUCUGCUUUUGAAAUAAAGAAUAUUAUCAUUGUUUCCUCCCCUGAGGAAAUAGAAGAGUAGCCAGCUCAGCUAGGGCUGUCACCUUCCUGAGGUUGCUCCACACUGGCUGACAGCCAACAGCUGCUGCUUAAAAAAUAAAAUACCCUCAUCAUAAAUAAGGAAAUUACUGAAUAAGGCUGGAAUUUCAAGAGAGGAAAUAGGUUGUACUCAUUUUCCUGCUCCAUAAGAAAGAGGACACGUGUGACUUCAGGGAGAGGCUGUGGACCAAGUGCGUCAGUACUGAGAGUGGUAGUGAGGGUCCCAGGCUGGUGCAGCAUGAAGAGUACCACAAGAAAUGCCCACCUGUGAGACCGCUGAGGCCGGGCAGCGCCUAUCCACCUCCCCACCCACUUUUUCUCAGAUCACAGGCCUGGGAUCUUGGUACAGUCCAAAUGGUGGGGAAAGAGCAUGGAGAAUAACAAAUACAGAACACUUCUUGUUGACUUCUUCAGUGCUUGUCACGGAUUGGAUUCCCUGGGAAGCAGAUGCUGUGUUGGAGAUGUGCACAUCACAAUGUUAUUGCAGGAGCAUGUUCUUGGGAAUACAAAUGUGGGGGAGUGAAGAGAAGAAAGCAGGAUGAAGCAGAAGGAAAAGAGGAGCUGCAAUCCAGUGCCCAAAGAGCUGUAGAACUGAGAUCACUCUGAAGAACUGUCCCAAACUGGAAGAAGAGGGGCAAGUAAUUAUAAUACCCUAUUGAUAAUCAUUGGAUGAGAGCUUCCCUGGGGAAGGAGGCAUUACUUUGUUCAUGGUGGGUCCCUUAAGCUAACGCAGUUUCAUCACAACGAUGCUCUCAAUCUGGAGUACACACAUCAAGAGAUGGGCAGACCCUUCAGGAGAGGUUUAAUGCAUCCAGUACACAUCGUGGUCGCUCCGCACAUGCUGGUACCCCCUGCUCCAUUAGCAGAAAUUGCUAAUUCUGAAGGUCUCCCCAUUUAAUGUAAUCCACCUCUCCCUCAUUUAAUCACAAAUACAUUCACGCCCUUCCCAGCAGGAGACAACUGAAUAUCACGUUGUGGGCUGUUCUUCAGAUACUUGUCAGGAAAUGUAAGUUCUCUGAAACACCCCCCAAAGGGAAAAGAAUAUGAAAAAGCAUUUGCCUCACAGGAAACCUGCCAACCUUUCUGUUUUACUUGGUGCUUUAGUAGGACAACCACUGGAAAGGGCAGUUUGUUGUCAAAUGAGCAUGUCAAAUGAACUCCAACCACUGCAAGGCAAAAUGAAACCCACGCUACCUAAAAGGUGUAGAUAUCAGUCCAUGUAAUUGAAAUCUGUCGACUUGGGGGUAAGUUAAAGAAACACCGUGUUGUUGUAGAAGGCCAUUGACAUCUUCUCCUGGUAAAACCCCCAGAGGGUGCUGUCUUAAGGUGUUGGACAGAAACUGCCCCAUGGCAUCUACACACUGGAUGUUGAUUUGAGUUAAACUGAGCAUUUGACAGAAGGAUUCUGACCCAUUCCCUGGAGUGAUUUGGGAAGGUAUUUAUAAAAAGGAAUGAUGUGCUCCAGUGAUUUACAAUAAUGGCAUAUAUUGUUUUGUCUUUGGUUUGUUUCUUGAUUGUAAAUAUUGGUCAGUGUCCAAAAUUAAGAUGCAAUCACUGGUUACCCCAACCUGGGAUGUUUAUUUGGAAAAACACAAAGUGGUUUAAAAUUCAUACAAAUCACUCUAAACCUGGGUACACUCUUUUUCUUUAAAUCUUAGAUUCUGCUGUCAGAUCAAGAGAAAAAGGGAAAGCUUUCAUAUUGCUCAAAAUGAUUUUUUAAAAUUUCCUUCAUUUCUUACUUCCUUCUCAACUCUUUUCCACUCUAAAACAUUCUCAACUCCCUAACUCAUUAAGAUAUUUUAUUCAUAAAGAGAACUUAAAUUAAGAUUUAAAUAAAUAUUUAUUAAACUGUUUUCCAGAUUUACAAAAUCCAGCUGGGUAACUCAUUGAAAAUAAGUACUGUGUAAUCUGUUGUCUAGUAAAAAGGGUUUGAACAGGAUGUUUAGGCCACAUCUCAGCUCCAUCAUUCCUUCUGGUAUCCUGGCAUCACUGGGUAAGUUCACAGUUUAAGGAAGGAAUCUGAGGUGGUAGAACCAGGUGUGCUGGAGAGGCAGCCUAGGUCAGUGGCUAAGAGUGAAAUUCUGGCUUCACCACUUUCUAGCUCUUACAACCUUAGGAAGGUUAUGUAAUUUCAUAUUAUUAUUAUUAUUAAAGCCUUAUGAUAUAGUUAUUAUUAUUAUCUCCAUUUUAAAGAUGAGAAAACACAGAGCACAAAACCAUAAAGACUGUGUCUGGGAUGCAGUAAGUGUUAUGUAAGGGUGUUAAGCAAGUAAGCAUACAAAAUGCAGGACCAAAAGAAGCAACACCAGCCCCCAAACUACACCAUGUGAAUUUCCAAAGAACCAAGUGUUCACACUACAUCAAAACGAGCCUGUUGAAUCUUUUGGACUCUGAGAAAUAAAGCAUAGUUAUUAUCAAAUUAAGAUUUAAAUUCAAUUCCUCAGCUGCGUCUUGAUCACUGGAUACCACUUUAAUAAUCACAUUAUUAAAGAAAGUUCCAAGUUUGGGGUGGAAUACUGCAGAUGAGGAAAGUAGAAAUUACUGCUAUAUUAUGAUCUACACUUUGUCUUAAUAUGAUCUGGCCCAUAUAAAAAUGCUCCAGAACAGUUGCAAAAUAUGGAUAUUUUUCUUUGAAAACCAGCCUUUUGUCUUUAUAACUUACAAAGCCAUUUUUCCCAGUCCACAAAGCUAUUUGGUCACAAAUUUAAGAAACCAGUGAUUCCUGAGAUAUAUGUGCUUUCACACUUCAGGAAAUAAUUUCAAAAUGAUUUUGGCAGUCUACCCAUUUUUAUAAAGAUAAAAAACUAAAAUAUUAUUUUGUCUUAGAAAUAAGUAUUAAUAGAGACAUUAUUAUAUCUUUGCCCCUAGAGCUUUAGAAGCAAAGAUUUGUCUUUCUCUUCCUCUCUCUCUCACUCUUCCCUAUUUCCUCCUUCCUGGUGAGUCUUACUUCUGUAUACUAGAGUAAUUAUAUCUAUUUUUUUGAAUGCUUUUGUAUGUAUAUUAUAAAGUGUUUCCUUUCUUGUUCUCAAUUCAAAUGGAAUACUGAACUGUGCUCUCUGUAUACUAAGUUAACUGGGGCCUGUCGGGGGGGUGGGGGGAGGGGGGAGGGAUAGCAUUAGGAGGAAAACCUAAUGUAAAUGAUGAGUUAAUGGGUCCAGCAAACCAACAUGGCACAUGUAUACAUAUGUAACAAACCUGCACGUUGUGCACAUGUACCCUAGAACUUAAAGUAUAAUAAAAAAAAAAAUUUAAAAAAAAA
rnacentral:lncRNA from 10 species